rnacentral:rRNA from 1 species
GGGGGGAGCAAGCGUUGUUCGGAUUUACUGGGCGUAAAGGGCGCGUAGGCGGUCAGCACAAGUCAGUUGUGAAAUCUCCGGGCUUAACUCGGAAAGGUCAACUGAUACUGUGCGACUAGAGUGCGGAAGGGGCAACUGGAAUUCUCGGUGUAGCGGUGAAAUGCGUAGAUAUCGAGAGGAACACCUGCGGCGAAGGCGGGUUGCUGGGCCGACACUGACGCUGAUGCGCGAAAGCCAGGGGAGCGAACGGGAUUAGAUACCCCGGUAGUCCUGGCCUUAAACGAUGGAUGCUUGGUGUCUGGGGUUUUAUAGUCCCCGGGUGCCGUAGCUAACGCGUUAAGCAUCCCGCCUGGGGAGUACGGUCGCA